rnacentral:rRNA from 1 species
AUACGGAGGGUGCGAGCGUUGUCCGGAUUUAUUAGGUUUAAAGGGUGUGUAGGCGGGAGCCUAGGUCAGUGGUGAAAUCUCACAGCUUAACUGUGAAACUGCCAUUGAAACUGGGUUUCUUGAGUAUAGUUGAGGUAGGCGGAAUGUGUAAUGUAGCGGUGAAAUGCAUAGAUAUUACACAGAACACCGAUUGCGAAGGCAGCUUACUAAGCUAUUACUGACGCUGAUGCACGAAAGCGUGGGUAGCGAACAGGAUUAGAUACCCUAGUAGUCC